GAUGAACGCUAGCUACAGGCUUAACACAUGCAAGUCGAGGGGCAGCAUUUUAGUUUGCUUGCAAACUGAAGAUGGCGACCGGCGCACGGGUGAGUAACACGUAUCCAACCUGCCGAUAACUCCGGGAUAGCCUUUCGAAAGAAAGAUUAAUACCGGAUAGCAUACGAAUAUCGCAUGAUAUUUUUAUUAAAGAAUUUCGGUUAUCGAUGGGGAUGCGUUCCAUUAGUUUGUUGGCGGGGUAACGGCCCACCAAGACUACGAUGGAUAGGGGUUCUGAGAGGAAGGUCCCCCACAUUGGAACUGAGACACGGUCCAAACUCCUACGGGAGGCAGCAGUGAGGAAUAUUGGUCAAUGGGCGAGAGCCUGAACCAGCCAAGUAGCGUGAAGGAUGAAGGCUCUAUGGGUCGUAAACUUCUUUUAUAUGGGAAUAAAGUUUUCCACGUGUGGAAUUUUGUAUGUACCAUAUGAAUAAGGAUCGGCUAACUCCGUGCCAGCAGCCGCGGUAAUACGGAGGAUCCGAGCGUUAUCCGGAUUUAUUGGGUUUAAAGGGAGCGUAGGUGGAUUGUUAAGUCAGUUGUGAAAGUUUGCGGCUCAACCGUAAAAUUGCAGUUGAAACUGGCAGUCUUGAGUACAGUAGAGGUGGGCGGAAUUCGUGGUGUAGCGGUGAAAUGCUUAGAUAUCACGAAGAACUCCGAUUGCGAAGGCAGCUCACUAGACUGUCACUGACACUGAUGCUCGAAAGUGUGGGUAUCAAACAGGAUUAGAUACCCUGGUAGUCCACACAGUAAACGAUGAAUACUCGCUGUUUGCGAUAUACAGUAAGCGGCCAAGCGAAAGCAUUAAGUAUUCCACCUGGGGAGUACGCCGGCAACGGUGAAACUCAAAGGAAUUGACGGGGGCCCGCACAAGCGGAGGAACAUGUGGUUUAAUUCGAUGAUACGCGAGGAACCUUACCCGGGCUUAAAUUGCAACAGAAUAUAUUGGAAACAGUAUAGCCGUAAGGCUGUUGUGAAGGUGCUGCAUGGUUGUCGUCAGCUCGUGCCGUGAGGUGUCGGCUUAAGUGCCAUAACGAGCGCAACCCUUAUCUUUAGUUACUAACAGGUUAUGCUGAGGACUCUAGAGAGACUGCCGUCGUAAGAUGUGAGGAAGGUGGGGAUGACGUCAAAUCAGCACGGCCCUUACGUCCGGGGCUACACACGUGUUACAAUGGGGGGUACAGAAGGCGGCUACCUGGUGACAGGAUGCUAAUCCCAAAAACCUCUCUCAGUUCGGAUCGAAGUCUGCAACCCGACUUCGUGAAGCUGGAUUCGCUAGUAAUCGCGCAUCAGCCAUGGCGCGGUGAAUACGUUCCCGGGCCUUGUACACACCGCCCGUCAAGCCAUGAAAGCCGGGGGUACCUGAAGUACGUAACCGCAAGGAGCGUCCUAGGGUAAACUGGUAAUUGGG
rnacentral:rRNA from 1 species